rnacentral:rRNA from 1 species
GAUGAACGCUGGCGGCGUGCCUAAUACAUGCAAGUCGAGCGAACAGACGAGGAGCUUGCUCCUCUGACGUUAGCGGCGGACGGGUGAGUAACACGUGGAUAACCUACCUAUAAGACUGGGAUAAAUUCGGGAAACCGGAGCUAAUACCGGAUAAUAUAUUGAACCGCAUGGUUCAAUAGUGAAAGACGGUUUUGCUGUCACUUAUAGAUGGAUCCGCGCCGCAUUAGCUAGUUGGUAAGGUAACGGCUUACCAAGGCAACGAUGCGUAGCCGACCUGAGAGGAUGAUCGGCCACACUGGAACUGAGACACGGUCCAGACUCCUACGGGAGGCAGCAGUAGGGAAUCUUCCGCAAUGGGCGAAAGCCUGACGGAGCAACGCCGCGUGAGUGAUGAAGGUCUUCGGAUCGUAAAGCUCUGUUAUUAGGGAAGAACAAAUGUGUAAGUAACUAUGCACGUCUUGACGGUACCUAAUCAGAAAGCCACGGCUAACUACGUG